AACGCAUAUUGCGCCCGAGGCUUCGGCCGAGGGCAUGUCUGCUUGAGCGCCGCUGGACACCCCUCGUCCCAACUUCUCGUCGUCACUAUGUGAGUGAUGAGAUGAGGACGGAUUGAUGGUCGCCUCGAAUACAUGAGACAGAAUGGCGGCGUAAGCCCUAUUCUCCUCAUCGAGCCGGCUGGAAAAAAAAAAGCUCGGCCCGAUGCGUACCGUAACGGCACACUCGGCGUGGACGAAGCAAUCCCCUUAACCCCUGUAACAAGGGCGUUGCGGGAAUAGCGGAUGUUGCCCGAAUGUCGUAUGCGUGCGCAUUUGUGCGUCGAGACUUAAGCUGUGCCAACGAUCGUGCCAUGUGCAUGCUCGUGGAACCCCAAACCCUUGGCCUCAAGUCAGGCAGGAGCACCCGCUGAAUUUAA
rnacentral:misc_RNA from 1 species